rnacentral:rRNA from 1 species
CCAUGGGCAGGUUGAAGGUUGGGUAACACUAACUGGAGGACCGAACCGACUAAUGUUGAAAAAUUAGCGGAUGACCUGUGGCUGGGGGUGAAAGGCCAAUCAAACCGGGAGAUAGCUGGUUCUCCCCGAAAGCUAUUUAGGUAGCGCCUCGUGAAUUCAUCUCCGGGGGUAGAGCACUGUUUCGGCUAGGGGGCCAUCCCGGCUUACCAACCCGAUGCAAACUGCGAAUACCGGAGAAUGUUAUCACGGGAGACACACGGCGGGUGCUAACGUCCGUCGUGAAGAGGGAAACAACCCAGACCGCCAGCUAAGGUCCCAAAGUCAUGGUUAAGUGGGAAACGAUGUGGGAAGGCCCAGACAGCCAGGAUGUUGGCUUAGAAGCAGCCAUCAUUUAAAGAAAGCGUAAUAGCUCACUGGUCGAGUCGGCCUGCGCGGAAGAUGUAACGGGGCUAAACCAUGCACCGAAGCUGCGGCAGCGAACGUAUCACCCAAGACAACUUUACGGAGUUGACGAUUGACGGAGCGAAGCGACGUCAAAGCGUUCAUUAAAGUCGAGUUGGCUUAGGGAUACGUUCGUUGGGUAGGGGAGCGUUCUGUAAGCCUGUGAAGGUGUGUCGUGAGGCAUGCUGGAGGUAUCAGAAG